rnacentral:sRNA from 1 species
AGGCUGUUUUGUGACACGGACCUGGUGUGGAAGCGAGAGGAGGUGGCUUGAUUGCCGGGCGUCUGUUCCGAGGGAGGAGGGUGUUGCCAUCUCCCUCACAGGCCCUUAUCACCCCUUUCUCAGGCGGGAGCAUGCUGGGGCUCUGGAGGCAGCGGCUCCCCGCGGCGUGGGUCCUGCCCUUGUUGCCUUUCCUGCCGCUGCUGUUGCUUGCAGCCCCCGCGCCCCACCGCGCGUCCUACAAGCCGGUCAUCGUGGUGCAUGGGCUCUUCGACAGCUCGUACAGCUUCCGCCACCUGCUGGAAUACAUCAAUGAGACACACCCCGGGACUGUGGUGACAGUGCUCGAUCUCUUCGAUGGGAGAGAGAGCUUGCGACCCCUGUGGGAACAGGUGCAAGGGUUCCGAGAGGCUGUGGUCCCCAUCAUGGCAAAGGCCCCUCAAGGGGUGCAUCUCAUCUGCUACUCGCAGGGGGGCCUUGUGUGCCGGGCUCUGCUUUCUGUCAUGGAUGAUCACAAUGUGGAUUCUUUCAUCUCCCUCUCCUCUCCACAGAUGGGACAGUAUGGAGACACGGACUACUUGAAGUGGCUCUUCCCCACCUCCAUGCGGUCUAACCUCUAUCGGAUCUGCUACAGCCCCUGGGGCCAGGAAUUCUCCAUCUGCAACUACUGGCAUGAUCCCCACCAUGAUGACUUGUACCUCAAUGCCAGCAGCUUCCUGGCCCUGAUCAAUGGGGAAAGAGACCAUCCCAAUGCCACAGUAUGGCGGAAGAACUUUCUUCGUGUGGGCCACCUGGUGCUGAUUGGGGGCCCUGAUGAUGGUGUUAUUACUCCCUGGCAGUCCAGCUUCUUUGGUUUCUAUGAUGCAAAUGAGACCGUCCUGGAGAUGGAGGAGCAACUGCCUGCCAGGCCCACCCACCAGUCUGAGCUGCUUCUGCUGAGGCUGGUCUGCCUGAAGCCUCCCAGGAGAAAGAAGCCAGCCUGUAGGGUCCAGCAUCAAAGCGAAUCAUGGGGUCCAGGGCUGAGCUGUGCACUCUCUUAGGCGGAUUCUCCUUCCUCCUGCUACUGAUAUCAGGCGAGGGGGCCAAGGGUGGAUCCCUCAGAGAGAGGUGACAACAGAGGGGGUGGGGUCCGGGGUGAGCUCUUCUCCGGAGCCUUCUGUUGGGGGUGGGGCUUCACAGGAGGCAAAACAUGACUGAAAGUUUAGAAUGGGGGUGAGAGGCUGUCAUCUGGAGGGAGAGCGGGGCCUCAAUAUCCUCUUGAGGGAAGUGGGACUCCUGGCUCCCCAGGGCCUGGCCUACUCAAUCUCUCCCACCUCAUCCUCUGGCAU